rnacentral:rRNA from 1 species
AUGGCUCAGGAUGAACGCUAGCUACAGGCUUAACACAUGCAAGUCGAGGGGCAGCAUUGGAGUAGCAAUACUCAGAUGGCGACCGGCGCACGGGUGAGUAACACGUAUCCAACCUGCCGCUUACUCGGGGAUAGCCUUUCGAAAGAAAGAUUAAUACCCGAUGGUAUAAAGAGUUCGCAUGUUCUCUUUAUUAAAGAAUUUCGGUAAGCGAUGGGGAUGCGUUCCAUUAGAUAGUUGGCGGGGUAACGGCCCACCAAGUCUACGAUGGAUAGGGGUUCUGAGAGGAAGGUCCCCCACAUUGGAACUGAGACACGGUCCAAACUCCUACGGGAGGCAGCAGUGAGGAAUAUUGGUCAAUGGACGCGAGUCUGAACCAGCCAAGUAGCGUGAAGGAUGACUGCCCUAUGGGUUGUAAACUUCUUUUAUAAGGGAAUAAAGUGAGGGACGUGUCCCUUUUUGUAUGUACCUUAUGAAUAAGGAUCGGCUAACUCCGUGCCAGCAGCUGC